rnacentral:rRNA from 1 species
UACGUAGGGUGCAAGCGUUAAUCGGAAUUACUGGGCGUAAAGCGUGCGCAGGCGGUUUUGUAAGUCUGGUGUGAAAUCCCCGGGCUUAACCUGGGAAUUGCAAUGGAGACUGCAAGGCUGGAGUCUGGCAGAGGGGGGUAGAAUUCCACGUGUAGCAGUGAAAUGCGUAGAGAUGUGGAGGAACACCGAUGGCGAAGGCAGCCCCCUGGGUCAAGACUGACGCUCAUGCACGAAAGCGUGGGGAGCAAACAGG